UGGGGAAUAUUGCACAAUGGGCGCAAGCCUGAUGUAGCCAUGCCGCGUGUAUGAAGAAGGCCUUCGGGUUGUAAAGUACUUUCAGCGGGGAGGAAGGCGAUAAGGUUAAUAACCUUGUCGAUUGACGUUACCCGCAGAAGAAGCACCGGCUAACUCCGUGCCAGCAGCCGCGGUAAUACGGAGGGUGCAAGCGUUAAUCGGAAUUACUGGGCGUAAAGCGCACGCAGGCGGUCGGUCAAGUCGGAUGUGAAAUCCCCGGGCUCAACCUGGGAACUGCAUUCGAAACUGGCAGGCUAGAGUCUUGUAGAGGGGGGUAGAAUUCCAGGUGUAGCGGUGAAAUGCGUAGAGAUCUGGAGGAAUACCGGUGGCGAAGGCGGCCCCCUGGACAAAGACUGACGCUCAGGUGCGAAAGCGUGGGGAGCAAACA
rnacentral:rRNA from 1 species